GGUUUUCCUAGCGCAGGGGGGGGGAGCAGGAGGGUGGUGGGGUGGCAGGAGGAAAGGAAGGCGACGAACAGGCUGGCUGGCACAAAAACCAGGAUUUGUGCGGAGAAGGAUCUGAGCAGGGAAGGGAAAUCCGUGUCUAAACAGGCUCCAGGUUGGAUGGAGGUUAAAACCCCUGCAUUUUCCACAAAUACAAACAACACACCCACCUUUGGGCCAUGAAGCUGGAGAGGAGUAGAUUUCUGGGACAUCUGUUUGCAGAAGAGAAGACCCAAAGCUGACGAAAACAACACAGGAACCGCCUCUACACUCUUUGCUGAGCUUCAAGGACAAAAAAAAAAACAACAACCCAUAAAGAUUUAAGGUCCACGAAGCACAGAUUUUUCCUUCUACUAACCCCUUAAAAAAA